CAAUAGCGUAUAUUAAAGUUGUUGCAGUUAAAAAGCUCGUAGUUGGAUUUCUGGUAGGAGUGACCGUUCCGAACUUGAUUGUUCGUGUAUUGUGUUUUCUCCAGCCAUCCUUGUGGAGAACUUUUCUUGCAUUAAUUUGUAGGGAUUGGGACCCGCAUCGUUUACUGUGAAAAAAUUAGAGUGUUUAAAGCAGGCAAUCGCUUGAAUACAUUAGCAUGGAAUAAUAAGAUAGGACUUUGGUACCAUUUUGUUGGUUUGCAUACCAAAUUAAUGAUCAACAGGAACAGUUUGAGGAUAUUCGUAUGAACAUGUCAGAGGUGAAAUUCUUGGAUUUUGAUCAGACGAACUACUGCGAAAGCAUUUAUCAAGGAUGUUUUCAUUAA
rnacentral:rRNA from 1 species